CCUACGCCCGGGCUGCGCGCGAGCGGCUCCGCACCGCCGGGACCCACGGAAGAAGGGGUCAAGGAGAUGGGAAGGAGCAGAGGGAGAGAGCCCACCAGUUCCCUGCUGCACUCCGUGCCGGCGUAUGGAAACAUUUUCUGCUUUGGACCUCACGAAGCAAACAGACGGAGAGAAAUAUUGGCAGCAGGAGGCUGAGUGAGCUCCCAAACAGGACCGGUCUGUGCAGAGAGCUGUAACACCCCAAGACUUGGCCCCACAGCUGCAACGGGAGCAAAGUGGAACAGCGGAGUUGGGGUCUGGGAUGCAGCAGCACCCAACUGCUGGCACUGGAAGAGAGAAGCGAGGAUUGGCCUCACCGCAUGCGGCACGGGGAUUUAAUCGGUCCCUCGAUUCAAUCUGCGUUUCUCAUCAGGGCCACCAACCUCCACGUUUAACACCGAGAUGCUGGGACUCAGAGCAGAGGACAGAGCAGCCGUGCUUAUUUAAAAGGUUUAUUUAACUUUUUUAAUUUGAGGUAAAUUUCUUUUUUUUUUUUUCUUUCAACUUC